rnacentral:rRNA from 1 species
CAGGGAAUCUUGCACAAUGGACGAAAGUCUGAUGCAGCGACACCGCGUGAGGGAAGAAGGCCUUCGGGUUGUAAACCUCUUUUAUCAGGGAAGAGUAAGGACUGUACCUGACGAAUAAGGACCGGCUAACUACGUGCCAGCAGCCGCGGUAAUACGUAGGGUUCAAACGUUGUCCGGAUUUACUGGGCGUAAAGAGCGCGUAGGCGGUUUGUUAAGUCUCAUGUGAAAUCUCCCGGCUCAACUGGGAGGGGUCAUGGGAAACUGACAGGCUUGAGGGUAGCAGAGGAAAGCGGAAUUCCCGGAGUAGUGGUGAAAUGCGUAGAUACCGGGAGGAACACCAGAGGCGAAGGCGGCUUUCUGGGCUAUUCCUGACGCUGAGGCGCGAAAGCGUGGGGAGCGAACCGG